UAGGGAAUCUUAGGCAAUGGACGAAAGUCUGACCGAGCAACGCCGCGUGAGUGAAGAAGGUUUUCGGAUCGUAAAACUCUGUUGUUAGAGAAGAACAAGGACGUUAGUAACUGAACGUCCCCUGACGGUAUCUAACCAGAAAGCCACGGCUAACUACGUGCCAGCAGCCGCGGUAAUACGUAGGUGGCAAGCGUUGUCCGUAUUUAUUGGGCGUAAAGCGAGCGCAGGCGGUUUCUUAAGUCUGAUGUGAAAGCCCCCGGCUCAACCGGGGAGGGUCAUUGGAAACUGGGGGACUUGAGUGCAGAAGAGGAGAGUGGAAGUCCAUGUGUAGCGGUGAAAUGCGUAGAUAUAUGGAGGAACACCAGUGGAGAAGGCGGCUCUCUGGUCUGUAACUGACGCUGAGGCUCGAAAGCGUGGGGAGCAAACAGG
rnacentral:rRNA from 1 species